rnacentral:rRNA from 2 species
GCAUAUCAAUAAGCGGAGGAAAAGAAACCAACAGGGAUUGCCCUAGUAACGGCGAGUGAAGCGGCAACAGCUCAAAUUUGAAAUCUGGCUCUCGGGCCCGAGUUGUAAUUUGUAGAGGAUACUUUUGAUGCGGUGCCUUCCGAGUUCCCUGGAACGGGACGCCAUAGAGGGUGAGAGCCCCGUCUGGUUGGAUGCCAAAUCUCUGUAAAGUUCCUUCAACGAGUCGAGUAGUUUGGGAAUGCUGCUCUAAAUGGGAGGUAUAUGUCUUCUAAAGCUAAAUACCGGCCAGAGACCGAUAGCGCACAAGUAGAGUGAUCGAAAGAUGAAAAGCACUUUGAAAAGAGAGUUAAAAAGUACGUGAAAUUGUUGAAAGGGAAGCGUUUAUGACCAGACUUGGGCUUGGUUAAUCAUCUGGGGUUCUCCCCAGUGCACUUUUCCAGUCCAGGCCAGCAUCAGUUUUCCCCGGGGGAUAAAGGCGGCGGGAAUGUGGCUCUCUUCGGGGAGUGUUAUAGCCCACCGUGUAAUACCCUGGGGGGGACUGAGGUUCGCGCAUCUGCAAGGAUGCUGGCGUAAUGGUCAUCAACGACCCGUCUUGAAACACGGACCAAGGAGUCGUCUUCGUAUGCGAGUGUUCGGGUGUCAAACCCCUACGCGUAAUGAAAGUGAACGCAGGUGAGAGCUUCGGCGCAUCAUCGACCGAUCCUGAUGUUCUCGGAUGGAUUUGAGUAAGAGCAUACGGGGCCGGACCCGAAAGAAGGUGAACUAUGCCUGUAUAGGGUGAAGCCAGAGGAAACUCUGGUGGAGGCUCGCAGCGGUUCUGACGUGCAAAUCGAUCGUCAAAUAUGGGCAUGGGGGCGAAAGACUAAUCGAACCUUCUAGUAGCUGGUUUCCGCCG